UGUUUUUCAGGCCCAGACACCAGUUUGUCU
rnacentral:piRNA from 1 species